rnacentral:rRNA from 1 species
AGCAGCCGCGGUAAUUCCAGCUCCAAUAGCGUAUAUUAAAGUUGUUGCAGUUAAAAAGCUCGUAGUUGAAUUUCGGGAUUGACGUGAUGGUCGUGCCUUAAGGGGUAUGAACUGUUGCUGUUGAUUUCUCACCUUCUGGAGAAACUUGAUGUCCUUAAUUGGGUGUCUUGCGGAUCCAGGACCUUUACCUUGAAAAAAUUAGAGUGUUUAAAGCAGGCAUUUUGCUCGAAUACAUUAGCAUGGAAUAAUAGAAUAGGACGGCAUGGUUCUACUUUGUUGGUUUCUAGGAUCACCGUAAUGAUUAAUAGGGAUAGUUGGGGGCAUUAGUAUUCAAUUGUCAGAGGUGAAAUUCUUGGAUUUAUUGAAGACUAACUACUGCGAAAGCAUUUGCCAAGGAUGUUUUCAUUAAUCAAGAACGAAAGUUAGGGGAUCGAAGACGAUCAGGUACCGUCGUAGUCUUAACCAUAA